ACAUGAACCACUGGCUGAGAAACAUCCUGAUUCUGACUCUCUGGCUAGAGUGUAAAGGAGAAGACAGAGUGACCCAGCCAGCAGGAGAUGUCAUUGCUGCUGAAGGAGACACAGUUACACUUGGCUGUACUUUUGAGACUAGCAACCCAAGUCCAACUUUGUUCUGGUACAAACAGGAUGGAAACAACAGCCCCAAAUUCAUGUUGAGCCGCUUUCAACGGGAUGAAGGGAAAACAGCAGACGACAUCAAGGACAGGUUUUCAUCAACAGUUGAUUCCACCUCAAAAUCAGUUCCUCUGAAGAUCCAGAAGCUUCAGCUGUCUGACUCUGCUGUGUACUACUGUGCUCUGCAGCCCACAGUG